rnacentral:rRNA from 1 species
AUUGAACGCUGGCGGAAUGCUUUACACAUGCAAGUCGAGCGGCAGCGCGGGGGCAACCCUGGCGGCGAGCGGCGAACGGGUGAGUAACACAUCGGAACGUACCCAGGUGUGGGGGAUAGCCCGGCGAAAGCCGGAUUAAUACCGCAUACGACCUGAGGGCGAAAGGGGGGGAUCGCAAGACCUCUCGCAGUUGGAGCGGCCGAGGGCGGAUGAGGUAGUUGGUGAGGUAAAGGCUCACCAAGGCGACGAUCCGUAGCUGGUCUGAGAGGACGACCAGCCACACUGGAACUGAGACACGGUCCAGACUCCUACGGGAGGCAGCAGUGGGGAAUUUUGGACAAUGGGGGCAACCCUGAUCCAGCAAUUCCGCGUGAGUGAAGAAGGCCUUCGGGUUGUAAAGCUCUUUCGGCAGGAACGAAACGGUGGAGGCUAAUACCUUUCAUCAAUGACGGUACCUGAAGAAGAAGCACCGGCUAACUACGUGCCAGCAGCCGCCGUAA